rnacentral:rRNA from 1 species
GACGAACGCUGGAAGCGUGCUUAACACAUGCAAGUCGAACGGAAAGGACCUGCAUAUAUGGGAUGAUAAAGAGGAACAAGGGUAAAAAAAAAGAACACAACCAGCAAUUGAAUUUGGGAUAACUUCACGACACUAGGGCUAAUACCGGAUAGGAGCUCCUGCUGCAUGGUGGGGGUUGGAAAGUUUCGGCGGUUGGGGAUGGACUCGCGGCUUAUCAGCUUGUUGGUGGGGUAGUGGCUUACCAAGGCUUUGACGGGUAGCCGGCCUGAGAGGGUGACCGGCCACAUUGGGACUGAGAUACGGCCCAGACUCCUACGGGAGGCAGCAGUGGGGAAUAUUGCACAAUGGGCGGAAGCCUGAUGCAGCAACGCCGCGUGCGGGAUGACGGCCUUCGGGUUGUAAACCGCUUUCGCCUGUGACGAAGCGUGAGUGACGGUAAUGGGUAAAGAAGCACCGGCUAACUACGUG